rnacentral:tRNA from 1 species
GAUAUGGUGUAUAUUGGUAGCACAAUGGAUUUUGAAUCCUUAGGGAUAGGUUCGAUGCCUAUAAUCCUAG